GAAAUGCGAUAAGUAAUGUGAAUUGCAGAAUUCAGUGAAUCAUCGAAUCUUUGAACGCACAUUGCGCCCCUUGGUAUUCCGGGGGGCAUGCCUGUUCGAGCGUCAUAAUAACCCCCUCAAGCCUAGCUUGGUGUUGGGGCCCGCCUCUAGGCGGCCCUUAAAGCGAGUGGCGGUGCCGUUCGGCUCUAAGCGUAGUAAUAAACCCUCGCUAUAGUGUCUAGCGGUUAGCUUGCCAAAAACCCCUAAACUUCUAUGUUUGACCUCGGAUCAGGUAGGGAUACCCGCUGAACUUAA
rnacentral:misc_RNA from 1 species